rnacentral:RNase_P_RNA from 1 species
UGAGUUGAGUAGAUGGUCGCGUCUCAAUUGUAGUUUUACCAUUGAGAUGAGGAAAGUCCGGACUCCGCAGGGCAGGAUGCUGGGUAACACCCAGGAGCGGCGACGCUAUGGAAAGUGCAACAGAAAGCAAACUACAACGUUUUUUUAAUUAUGGGCCUUCUUGCUCAUUUUUUGACGUUGUCAAAAAAUGGUUUGUGUUAAAAUCAAGUGAUAUGUCCCGCAGAUAGUGGGGCUGCUGAUUUUAAAGAAGAUCGCCUUCGGACAACGGACGAAGGCGAGGAAGCCGGUCCCCGGUUAAAAGAGGGCUGUACAGGUGAAACGGUGCGGUAAAAGCGCACCAGUCCGUAAGGUGACUUACGGAGCUCGGUAAACCCCGUCUGGAGCAAGGUAAAUCAGGGACAUACAGAGGUUGCCCGCCUCGUCCCGAGGUAACCGCUUGAGGUGNNNNNNNNNNNNNNNNNNNNGAGGUGGAUGGCAACAUCCAUCCCAGAUGAAUGAUCAUCACAUACAGAAUCCGGCUUAUUCUCAACUCAAGUC